rnacentral:tRNA from 1 species
UGUGGGUUGAUGUAAUAGUUAACAUAUUUGGGUUAUGGCCUAAAAAUGAAGGUGCGAAUCCUUUGCCCGCAG